AUUGAACGCUGGCGGCAGGCUUAACACAUGCAAGUCGAGCGGGGUGAUGGUGCUUGCACUAUCACUUAGCGGCGGACGGGUGAGUAAUGCUUAGGAAUCUGCCUAUUAGUGGGGGACAACAUCUCGAAAGGGAUGCUAAUACCGCAUACGUCCUACGGGAGAAAGCAGGGGAUCACUUGCGACCUUGCGCUAAUAGAUGAGCCUAAGUCGGAUUAGCUAGUUGGUGGGGUAAAGGCCCACCAAGGCGACGAUCUGUAGCGGGUCUGAGAGGAUGAUCCGCCACACUGGGACUGAGACACAGCCCAGACUCCUACGGGAGGCAGCAGUGGGGAAUAUUGGACAAUGGGGGGAACCCUGAUCCAACCAUGCCGCGUGUGUGAAGAAGGCCUUAUGGUUGUAAAGCACUUUAAGCGAGGAGGAGGCUCUUUUGGUUAAUACCCAAGAUGAGUGGACGUUACUCGCAGAAUAAGCACCGGCUAACUCUGUGCCAGCAGCCGCCGUAA
rnacentral:rRNA from 1 species